UCAAAUGUUCCCACGGUAUAGUGAAGGAAAUAUCAGUGAAGUUAUGUUUAAUGUCAUUUAUUUUAGUAGCCAAAAACGUGAAUAUCGAUACUCUUUAAAGAUGUUCCAGUCUUAGUUUUCCAGCCAGGCAAAACCAUGGAGUCUUUUUUCUUACUGACCUCUGCUUCUCGCGGCAAUAACUCACGACAGUAACGAACAAUCGGCGGAAAUACCUCAAAAUAAAAUCCAUCCUCCCGAAGCACGAGCUCUGACUCUGUCCGCGAGGAAAAACAUAUCCGUCCGUGACAGCACUAUAAUACCGUCCACAAAAACCAAGAACAUCUUUCUCUCCUCUUUCCCUCUUGCAUCCUCUCGUUGGCAAAUGUCUAGAAAGCCCCGACUCCACUCACGGAAAGUGGGGUGAAGCGCGCAAUCGUUGUAUGGCCAGACCGGGGCUCCGGUUUUUUCUUCGUGCCAUAACACUGUAUUAUGCGCCCUGCUCACGUGACACAACGUCAACUUAAAUCCCUUUUAUUUGAGCCUGUGAAUCAUUAAUGGAGGCAGUCAUUGCCCCUGAGGAGAAACGGAUCACUUUGGAGGGAGGAUAAAGAGGGUGGAUGACACUGCAAUGUAUCUGACAAAGGGACAUAUCUCUCGCAAUGCCACUUUACAUUCACACGUCACCCGAUUCCAAAGCGUGUGUGUUCGGUCGGUUUUGGAGGCUUUCGAGUUGCGCAGCGGUCUAAGGCACUGCAACUCAAUGCUAGAAGUUUCACUACAUACUUUGAUUCGAUCCCGGGCUGUCUCACAAAAGGCCGUGAUCGGGAGUCCCAAGGGGCGGCGCACAAUUGGCUUAGCGUCGCCCGGGUUAGGGAGGGUUUGCCCGGAAUAGGCCAUCAUUGUAAAAUAAUAAUUUGUUCUUAACUGACUUGCAUAGGUAAAUAAAGGUUAAAUAUCUUUAGUGCCCAUUUAAGUAAACAGCGAGUUGCCAUAUACUGUGAUCAUUGGCCAGCUAGCCUUGAGCCACUGGCAGAGCAAGAAAAGCGUUUGCCGCUGCGGUGUGACUGCGAGAUACAGAGAGGUCUUUACGGGUGGCGGAUGGAUCACUCAACACCUGAGUCACCCCUUACUAUUUUAUUGAGAGAUAAGGCUGGGGCUAUUGUGUGCAGAGGCCCUCAUCAUCACCCCACAUCCCGAGCUAUAGUCUACAACCACUCACUCACACAUUCAGACAAUAGCCUACAUGCUGGCGGACCAAUGGAAAUCAAAUGUCUUAUAGUUAGUUACCUGUCCGAAUGCUGAGUUAAAGGUGUGCGCCCCGGUAGCCGGGAGGUGUGUGUGUGUGUGUGUCAGUCAGUCAGUCCUGAGCUGAGAGGGCAUAGUGCAUGCGGGAGCUCAUUGAACUGAAUAUUUACCCCCCUGGUCAGUGCAGGGACCCUCCAUUCAUCCUGCAGCUCUUAUGCAUUCCCUACGGCCAGUUGAGUAAUGCUGGAAAUCAUAGGUUCGCACAGAGGUCAUACUCAAUUCCCAGUAUGGGGAGGGGGAAGGAUCAGGUGGUAAUAUGGCAACUAGCCUACUUUUAUGAGAUGAGGGCCAACGACAAUAGUAAUCUUUGAAAUAAAUGCAUAUUCUCUUGCAAUCCAUAAUAGGUCCACAACUUAAAUUAUGAACGUAUUGUGGCGCACUACGUGAUAUCGUUUAGCCUUCCCGAGCAUUGCCUAAACCUUGACCGGAAGAGCAGCCCUUCUCUCCGCACCGUUUGGCGCUUGAUUUCCGUCAACACUGAGCAGCGGGCGUGGAAAUGUUCCUCCACCAUAACUAUUAAUCACGCCAAGCGGACAUGGAGCGCAUCCCCCUCCCACAUCACAGCACCCUUUGUCUUCUCAAACUACAACUUGAGCCGUUUAAACUUUUAAAACCUGAACAGGAGGGAACAAUCUCUUAUCAGUUUACAUUUCAGACCACUUUAUGGAUGAUUGGGAGUGAGGGGGCUAUGCAUUUAUUAUUUAUGUUGGAUUAGAAUGAAGGGGGAAUCAGAUUUGAUUCGCAUUAAUUCAUGUUCUAGUUUUUGUGAAGAGUUCGGCCAGAUUUGCAUACCACUCCACCAGCACGGAGGUGCUCUGCAUUGCAACAUCGUAGAUCGUCUGGGGCUGAGCUGACUGUGGACGGAAAACAGACCCUUUCUCCCACGCCACCUUUCGCCACCGCACCUGAACUUUUCCCUGACCCAAACCGAGGCGCGGAGAGUCGAGUGUGAAGUUAUUUUGGUUCAAAAACAAGGAGAGAAUGGAGACUAUAUAACCAAUAAGAGCUAUACCUUCCUUUUCAGCUGGGAACGUUUUGGAUCCUUGUUUUUAACGGGCUCUUGUUGGUUUCAGCAGUUGAUUAACCUAUUUAUUGGUUUGUAUGUAUACAUAUAUUAAAGUUAGUAACAUAAAGCUUGUAACCUAAAUCCAACUUCCAACAUUUAUCGGCCUUGAGCUGUAGACUUGAGCCGCAGACAGUCCUCUCCAGACCGCGCCGUCAUUGGAUGUUCACCAGACUGCGGUGCAUCUCCACAAUGUUGACAUUUGAAGCUCUUAACAGCGAGCCUUGGGUUACCGAUACACUCAGCAGAAGAUAACUCUUUCUCAGGGGUUUACAUCGGCCAACAUCAAGGCUAAUGCGAAAUUCAACGCCCUAAACUGGUUUGGCGUGCAUGCUAAAACAGAGAACCCUCGGUUGAUCUCGCUAUACUCUCCAUAACGGACGGACUUCUGUUGUGGUGGUGGUUUGUUUCAGUAUGUGCUGUAGAAAUAAAAUUGUAGUGGUAAUAAUGUUGAA